CCUACGGGAGGCAGCAGUGGGGAAUAUUGCGCAAUGGGCGAAAGCCUGACGCAGCGACGCCGCGUGAGGGAUGAAGGUCUUCGGAUCGUAAACCUCUGUCAGCAGGGAAGAACGGUCACUGUGCUAAUCAGCCGUGAAUUGACGGUACCUGCAAAGGAAGCACCGGCUAACUCCGUGCCAGCAGCCGCGGUAAUACGGAGGGUGCGAGCGUUGAUCGGAAUUACUGGGCGUAAAGCGAUAGUAGGCGGUAUGUCAAGUCAAGGGUGAAAUCCCCGGGCUCAACGGGGGAAUUGCCUUUGAAACUGGCAAACUGGAGGGUGGGAGAGGAGAGUGGAAUUCCAGGUGUAGGAGUGAAAUCCGUAGAUAUCUGGAGGAACAUCAGUGGCGAAGGCGACUAUCUGGCACAUAACUGACGCUGAGGAGCGAAAGCGUGGGUAGCAAACAGGAUUAGAUACCCCUGUAGUC
rnacentral:rRNA from 1 species